AAAGGUGCACCACCGCAAGUUCAACAAGCAACAAUAUACCAGAAUCUGAUUUUCAGCCAGUUAGAUGACGUGUGCACAUCCUACCUCUUUGCAAACCUGCCGUUACAGGAAACUGAUACCUUAGUGGAACUCUGUGUCAUGAUGCUUGUUCAAAAAUCAAAGG